rnacentral:rRNA from 1 species
CCUACGGGAGACUGCAGUGGGGGAUAUUGCACAAUGGGGGAAACCCUGAUGCAGCGACGCCGCGUGUAGGAAGACGGUCCUCUGGAUUGUAAACUACUGUCCCCAGGGACGAAGAUGACGGUACCUGGGGAGGCCGCUCCGGCUAACUACGUGCCAGCAGCCGCGGUAAUACGUAGGGAGCGAGCGUUGUCCGGAAUUACUGGGUGUAAAGGGUGCGUAGGCGGUCCGUUAAGUCAGCGGUAAAAUUGCGGGGCUCAACCCCGUCGAGCCGUUGAAACUGGCAGACUUGAGUUGGCGAGAAGUACGCGGAAUGCGCGGUGUAGCGGUGAAAUGCAUAGAUAUCGCGCAGAACUCCGAUUGCGAAGGCAGCGUACCGGCGCCAGACUGACGCUGAGGCACGAAAGCGUGGGGAUCGAACAGGAUUAGAUACCCUGGUAGUC